CACGCCACACAGGAAGCGAGCCGGCCCUUUGCUCCUGCACUGCAGCACCGGCGUGGGCCAGAUGGGGACGCUGAUCGCCCUGGACUGCCUGCUGCACCAGAUGAAAGCUGAGCGGAGCGUGGACAUCUAUGGAGUCACCCUCAGGCUGACGAGAAGCUGCUGCCUCAUGACCCCGACGCCGGACCAGUACGUGUUCCUGUACAUGUGCAUCCGGGACAUCCUAGCCCAGAGGCAGCCCUAGGGAGAGCCCAGCAGUUCCUGCCCUGGAGAGAAGCCUAGCGCUGGGGGCAGGCGGAGGAGAACCCAACUGACGCCCCCCUACCCGGGGCUGAGGCACCAGCCGCCUCCUGCCCCUCUAGGCCAGCGCAGACCAGGAGCUACGGUUGGGUUAGCCAGUGUCAUCGCGUCAAGACGUCAGACUCUGCUGGUCUCCUUUGGCCGGGACGUGCACCGUGUGCACCAGCCUCCCGCACUGCUGCCACCCACUGCAGGUGGGGCGUGGGAACCUGUCCAGGACUCAAGGCUACGGAGGCUACGUCCCUGUUGCCUGGGAUUCCUGGGACGCUGGAAUAUCCAUUCAUCCAGUCGCCCUCGCGCUUGCUCUGGGAUCCUGCCAGCCUCCGUGCUGCCCUCCAAUGGUCCCUCAUUUUGUCUGCCUAUGUGCAGAACAAAUUCUCUGUGCACCUAGGCAAGUGCAGAUGUGCACCACCAGGGCCGGCCCAUUUUGGCACCCCGGUCCCCAGGUGCGUGGUGCUGCCCCCGGGGCGCAUAGCCCUGCCUCCGGGCGCACGGCGCAUGUGCUGCCCAGUCGGCCCGGCCACUGCCAA